rnacentral:rRNA from 1 species
GACGAACGCUGGCGGCGUGCUUAACACAUGCAAGUCGAACGGAGUGGCGAACGGGUGAGUAACACGUGGGUGAUCUGCCCUGCACUACGGGACAAGCUUGGGAAACCGGGUCUUAUACCGGAUAGUGCAAGAUGAGCUCGCGGCCAAUAGGCUUGUUGGUGGGGUAAUGGCCUACCAAGGCGUCGACUGGUAGCCGGCCUGAGAGGGUGUACGGCCACGUUGGGACUGAGGUACGGACCAGACGCCAAGGGGAGGAAGCAGUGGAAAAUAUUGCGCAAUAGGCGGAAGCCUGAUGCAGAGGCGCCGGGUGGGGGAUGAAGGCCUUCGGGUUGUAAACACCGUGCGACGGGGACGCGGUACCUGUAUAGGAAGCAACGGCUAACUACGUGCCAGCAGCCGGGGUAAUAC